UUUGGUGGUCAUAGCGUGAGUGAAACACCCGGUCCCAUCCCGAACCCGGCAGUUAAGCACCACCGCGCCAAUGGUACUGCGUCUUAAGACGUGGGAGAGUAGGUCACCGCCAAUC
rnacentral:rRNA from 3 species